rnacentral:tRNA from 1 species
ANCAAAAAUAAGAUUUAUACUUUUAAAAUUUCAAGAAAAAAGAAACUAUCU